UACGUAGGGACCAAGCGUUGUUCGGAUUUACUGGGCGUAAAGGGCGCGUAGGCGGCAUGACAAGUCACUUGUGAAAUCUCUGGGCUUAACCCAGAACGGCCAAGUGAUACUGUCGCGCUAGAGUGCGGAAGGGGCAAUCGGAAUUCUCGGUGUAGCGGUGAAAUGCGUAGAUAUCGAGAGGAACACCUGAGGUGAAGACGGGUUGCUGGGCCGACACUGACGCUGAGGCACGAAGGCCAGGGGAGCAAACGGG
rnacentral:rRNA from 1 species